GACGAACGCUGGCGGCGUGCUUAACACAUGCAAGUCGAACGGAAAGGCCCUGCUUUUGUGGGGUGCUCGAGUGGCGAACGGGUGAGUAACACGUGAGUAACCUGCCCUUGACUUUGGGAUAACUUCAGGAAACUGGGGCUAAUACCGGAUAGGAGCUCCUGCUGCAUGGUGGGGGUUGGAAAGUUUCGGCGGUUGGGGAUGGACUCGCGGCUUAUCAGCUUGUUUGUGGGGUAGUGGCUUACCAAGGGUUUGACGGGUAGCCCGCCUGAGAGGGUGACCGGGCACAAUGGGACUGAGAUACGGGGCAGACGCCUACGGGAGGCAGGAGUGGAGAAUAUUGCACAGUGGGCGGGAGCCUGAGGCGACGACGCCGGGAGCGGGAUGAUGGGCUUCGGGUUGAAAACCGCUUUCGACUUGGACGAAGCGUGAGUGACGGUAAUGGGUAAAGAAGCACCGGCUAACUACGUG
rnacentral:rRNA from 1 species